rnacentral:rRNA from 1 species
GACAGAGGGGGCAAGCGUUGCUCGGAAUUACUGGGCGUAAAGGGCGCGUAAGCGGGAUGGCAAGUCGGUCGUGAAAUCCCUCGGCUCAACCGAGGAACGUCGAUCGAUACUGCUGUUCUUGAGGAUUGCAGAGGAGACUGGAAUUCCCGGUGUAGCGAUGAAAUGUGUAGAGAUCGGGAGGAACACCGGUGGCGAAGGCGGGUCUCUGGGCAAUUCCUGACGCUGAGGCGCGAAAGCGUGGGGAGCGAACAGG